UUACUAUUUGAUAUACAAUAUUCACUAGGUCAGUACAGUGUUCUUAGAGCCAGUGAUGAUGAUGAUGACACUCCCCCACCAGUACCAGCCUAUAAUCCUAAUGGAGUACAAGAAUACUCUGAACUGAAGAGAGAGGGAGAGAAUAAGGGUCAACAGGGUCUGUCUACUGGUGCUACUGGACUAUAUUCAACCAUUAAUAAAAACACCAACAACCAGGUGUUAGUUGAUAAAUCAGCUCAUAAGCCAGUGUAUGCUGAUCUGGCUAUUGCUGCUAAAGGGAAGAGACCACAGGCAGCACCAACACAAGAACAACCAGUGGUAUAUGCAUCAGUUAACAACAAAGUAAUGAUAAUGUACAUGUA